GGGAGUGACUAUGGGCGGCGAGAACUUGCUCCUGCUACAGUUGCGGUCAUCAUGACUACGCCCCCCUCCUGCGGACCAUGUUCCAUGGUAAGCGCUCCUCUCUCGCGCGGCGCACAAGUUCGCGCGCCCUGCGCGCCGGGACACUGCGGGACGCGCCGCUGGCCCCCGCUGCAAGGCACGUCCGGGAAUAGCCCGGCCUUGCACUUUGGACCUGCCGAGAGCGCUGGCUCUCCCACGGGCAGCUGCCAGCUGCGCCGGAGUCCUGUGGCCCACAGGCACACCUCUGGCUGCUGCGCCUGGCAGGCUGUGAGAAGCAGUCCCCGACGCCGGCUUUCUGUCCCGAGACCGAGCGCUGCAGCCUCCGCGUCGCUCAGCGGCGGCAGCCUACACCUGGGUCUCAGAGUUUCUUUUAGGUAUAUCUUUGGAAUUCCUCCAUUGAUCCUUGUUCUGUUGCCAGUAGCAUCAUCUGAUUGUGAUAUUGAAGGUCAAGAUGGCAAAGAAUAUGAAAGCGUCCUAAUGAUCAGCAUCGAUGAGCUACUGGACAGCAUGAAAGAAAUUGGUAGCAAUUGCCUGAAUAAUGAAUCUAACUUUUUUAAAAAACAUUUAUGUGAUGAUAAUAAGGAAGGUACGUUUCUAUAUCGUGCUGCUCGCAAAUUGAAGCAAUUUCGUAAAAUGAAUAACAGUGACAAUUUCGAUCACCACUUAUCAAUGGUUUCACAAGGCACAUUACAACUGUUGAACUGCACCAGCAAGGUUAAAGGAAGAAAAUCUCCUUCCCUGAGUGAAGCCCAACCAACAAAGAAUUUGGAAGAAAAUAAAUCUUUAAAGGAACAGAAAAAACAGAAUGGCUUGUGUUUCCUAAAGAGACUAAUACAAAAGAUAAAAACUUGUUGGAAUAAAAUUUUGAGGGGCACUAAAGAACACUGAAAAAUAUGGAGUGGCGAUAUAGAAACAUAUGAACUUUACUUGCAUCCUCCAAGAAUCUAUCUGCUUAUGAAAUUUUUUUUGGAGUGGAAUGCCUUCUGGAAGUUACUGAAUGCAUCCUGGUAAAAUGGAUUAGAGAAAUUAAGAAAUCCAUAUUAUAUUACUAGAAAAUGGAUACAAGCAAUGGAAACUGAAUGCUGCAAUCAACAAACUAUUUCAUAUGUCUCUGCCUAAGCAUUGAAACAGAGAAGAAAAAAAGAAAAAAAAAACAGAAAAUGGUCAGCUGUAUAACUCGUGUCCCUCUUCAAUACUUCUGCAGCACUUUGUUGGUACCUUCAUAAUAAAGAAAAGUUCCAUUAAAAUAAACCACUUCUUUCUUUCCUAAGUUGUAAUUACCUGUUUAUAUAUCAUUCCCUCCAAAUAAGUUAUAUCAACUUGAGGGCAGGGACUUAAUCACAUGUUAUUUAUUCUCUUGAUCCCCAGCAUUUCAUAGCAUGAAGAGUAUAUGAAGCAUUUUUUAAAGGUAGGCAUAAAGCUUUAGCUUUGUGCACUUCACAUUAGCUGGUCCACUUAUUAGCUACUAUUUAAAUAGUUCCCACUCUCAUAUGUUAGGUAAUGUUAAGUUAAUCUAGAGCAUUAGGGAAAAAAAAAAAGAUCUUUAUCUUAAAUAAAAUUAUCACUAAGUUGUACAACUAAGAUGAAAUAUUAGUAUCCUUAAAAGAUUAAAACUUAUUAAAUGGUUGUACAACUAAGAUGAAAUAUUAGUAUCUUAGAGGAGAUUGUAACUUACUUAACUGUUGUACAACUAACAUUUCCUAGUACUCACUAGGAAGC